GGCUCAGGACGAACGCUGGCGGCGUGCCUAAUACAUGCAAGUCGAGCGAACCGACGGGAGCUUGCUCCCUUAGGUUAGCGGCGGACGGGUGAGUAACACGUGGGUAACCUGCCUGUAAGACUGGGAUAACUCCGGGAAACCGGGGCUAAUACCGGAUGCUUGAUUGAACCGCAUGGUUCAAUUAUAAAAGGUGGCUUUUAGCUACCACUUACAGAUGGACCCGCGGCGCAUUAGCUAGUUGGUGAGGUAACGGCUCACCAAGGCGACGAUGCGUAGCCGACCUGAGAGGGUGAUCGGCCACACUGGGACUGAGACACGGCCCAGACUCCUACGGGAGGCAGCAGUAGGGAAUCUUCCGCAAUGGACGAAAGUCUGACGGAGCAACGCCGCGUGAGUGAUGAAGGUUUUCGGAUCGUAAAACUCUGUUGUUAGGGAAGAACAAGUACCGUUCGAACAGGGCGGUACCUUGACGGUACCUAACCAGAAAGCCACGGCUAACUACGUGCCAGCAGCCGCGGUAAUACGUAGGUGGCAAGCGUUGUCCGGAAUUAUUGGGCGUAAAGCGCGCGCAGGCGGUUUCUUAAGUCUGAUGUGAAAGCCCCCGGCUCAACCGGGGAGGGUCAUUGGAAACUGGGGAACUUGAGUGCAGAAGAGGAGAGUGGAAUUCCACGUGUAGCGGUGAAAUGCGUAGAGAUGUGGAGGAACACCAGUGGCGAAGGCGACUCUCUGGUCUGUAACUGACG
rnacentral:rRNA from 1 species